CACGUAGGGGGCGAGCGUUGUCCGGAUUUAUUGGGCGUAAAGAGCUCGUAGGCGGCUUGGUAAGUCAGGUGUGAAACCUCCAGGCUCAACCUGGAGACGCCACUUGAUACUGCCAUGCUAGAGUCCGGUAGGGGAGCGUGGAAUUUCUGGGUGUAGCGGUGAAAUGCGCAGAUAUCAGAAGGAACACCAGCGGCGAAGGCGGCGCUCUGGGCCGGAACUGACGCUGAGGAGCGAAAGCGUGGGGAGCGAACAGG
rnacentral:rRNA from 1 species